UACGGAGGGUGCAAGCAUUAAUCGGAUUUAUUGGGCGUAAAGGGCGCGUAGGCGGACAUGAAAGUCAGAUGUGAAAUCCCGAGGCUUAACCUCGGAACAGCAUUUGAAACUCCAUAUCUAGAGGGUAGGCGGAGAAAACGGAAUUCCACAAGUAGCGGUGAAAUGCGUAGAUAUGUGGAAGAACACCGGUGGCGAAGGCGGUUUUCUAGCUUAUACCUGACGCUGAGGCGCGAAAGCAAGGGGAUCAAACAGG
rnacentral:rRNA from 1 species